rnacentral:rRNA from 1 species
ACAUCCAGAGAAUUUAGCAGAGAUGCUUUAGUGCCUUCGGGAACUCUGAGACAGGUGCUGCAUGGCUGUCGUCAGCUCGUGUAGUGAAAUGUUGGGUUAAGUCCCGNAACGAGCGCAACCCUUAUCCUUUGUUGCCAGCACGUAAUGGUGGGAACUCAAAGGAGACUGCCGGUGAUAAACCGGAGGAAGGUGGGGAUGACGUCAAGUCAUCAUGGCCCUUACGAGUAGGGCUACACACGUGCUACAAUGGCGCAUACAAAGAGAAGCGACCUCGCGAGAGCAAGCGGACCUCAUAAAGUGCGUCGUAGUCCGGAUUGGAGUCUGCAACUCGACUCCAUGAAGUCGGAAUCGCUAGUAAUCGUAAAUCAGAAUGUUACGGUGAAUACGUUCCCGGGCCUUGUACACACCGCCCGUCACACCAUGGGAGUGGGUUGCAAAAGAAGUAGAUAGCUUAACCUUCGGGAGGGCGUUUACCACUUUGUGAUUCAUGACUGGGGUGAAGUCGUAACAAGGUAAGCGUAGUGCU